UACGUAGGUGGCAAGCGUUGUCCGGAUUUACUGGGCGUAAAGAGCGCGCAGGCGGUCGUUCAAGUCGCGUGUGAAAGCCCCCGGCUCAACUGGGAGGGUCACGCGAUACUGAUCGACUCGAAGGCAGGAGAGGGUAGUGGAAUUCCCGGUGUAGUGGUGAAAUGCGUAGAUAUCGGGAGGAACACCAGUGGCGAAGGCGACUACCUGGCCUGUUUCUUGACGCUGGAGGCGACGAAAGGCUAGGGAAGCAAAGCGG
rnacentral:rRNA from 1 species